UAAAACCAAAAGUCAAUUAAUAAGACUAGGUUAGAAAUAAAUCAAGAAUAAAUAGUAAAUUAAUCAUGAAAAUUAUGAAAAACCAAAAUAAAUAAGUUGGGGUCAGGACAUCAUCAUCCCCUAAAAAGAUUUUAAAAAUAAUGAAAAUUGGUACGUGAAUUAAUUAAAAUAAAACAGAAGUCAAAUUAAAAGUCAACCAACCAAACUAGG
rnacentral:lncRNA from 1 species